rnacentral:rRNA from 1 species
UACGAAGGGAGCUAGCGUUGUUCGGAAUCACUGGGCGUAAAGCGCACGUAGGCGGAUGUGUCAGUCAGGGGUGAAAUCCCGGAGCUCAACUUCGGAACUGCGUCCGAUACUGGCAGGCUUGAAUCCGGGAGAGGGAUGUGGAAUUCCAGGUGUAGCGGUGAAAUGCGUAGAUAUCGAGAGGAACACCUGCGGCGAAGGCGGGUUGCUGGGCUGACACUGACGCUGAUGUGCGAAAGCUAGGGGAGCGAACGGG